UAGGUUAAACAGGUUCCUUUUCUAGGAUUAAAGGGAAAGGAGAAAGACAAUGAAAAUAAAUAGUUUGAUCUCUUAGUGAAAUGAUUAACUUUUUCUGGCUUUCUUACAGUGUCAUCUAAAAAUAUAUAUUUGUACCCACUAAGUGGCAAAUUCAAAAACAGAUGGUUAGCAAUAUAGUUACUGGCUCCUUUUAUGAGUGCAUCAUCUCUUUCUAGUGGAAGUCACUAUUUAAAUAGCAAAAGAUCAAAAGAAGUGUUCUCUUGUCUUCCUACAAUUGCUUUAAAGUCAAUUCAAAGAAACAAUUGACUUCCUGAAAACUUAUUUCUUUCUUUUCAUGGAAAUUGGGGGAAAAAUGUAGUCAGCAAAUACUUUAAAAAAAUCCACUUAUUUAUAGCAAAGGGGACUAUUUGUUCUUUUCUUUGGAGGAAUCUUCUGGUCUUGCUGUCUAAUAAACAGACUCUUGAAGCUGUACAUUGAGGAAAAUAAUGGCACAUGAUGCUGCUUAUAUGGAUGCUGAAGAGGACAAAGAUUACACUGCAGAAAGCUCUGAGAGAGAGAAAGAAGUCCGCACUUUGCAUAACCAGCUGCUGAAUUCCUAGUGUAGAGGAUCAAGAGGCAGAGUGAUGUCUGCUCUUUCUAGAAAUAGCAGUUGGACCCAUGUAUUGCAGAAGUGGAUAGAAAAGUUUCUUUGGCAGGGAUUUUCAAAAAGGAAGAGUAAAACUUCCUUGUGCAGAGACAUUUAACAUGGGCCCACAGAUGUCUGUAGAUGUAACAUGUUCCUUUGCUCUGUUUAUUUCCCUUUCACAAUCCUAUUCUAGACAGAAAACUGUACUGCAUGUAUUUCAAUUGCUUAAAUUUACACCUACUUACAGGUCAUACUUUCAGCACAAUUAAUUUGAGUACUAAGUGGCAAGAAGUUGGGGAAGGAAAUCGCAAGGACAUUUAAGGAGCAUUAAGGAGCAGUUAAGGACUGUUUGCCAGUGCUUGGUGCGAACUGCCCUGCUUGACAGUAACUCCUGCAAAACCCAGGGCUCCUGAUCCAGUGCCUGCUUACCAGUGUCAGUCUUCCCAGCGGCUCUGAUUUGGCCUUUAAUGAAGAUGAUGAAGUAACAUAUUUUUUAUGAGAUGAGUGGGAAAAUCUAAAGGGAGUGAAUAUGAGAGAUGACCAGCAGACCAAGCCAGGCUGGAAGGUGACUGACACCAAAGUGUGUAAUUCAUUCCCAGAAGGUGUCCUGCCAGAAUUUUAUGCAGCAAUGUAAUAUUGAAUCAUCUGUAUUAUUGACACAGGUUGCAUCUGACUGAUUUAUUUUCAAUGUUUCUUAAAAGACCCGAUGAUACGGGCUCAGCAGACCAAGGUCACAUGUUGACAGCCAGAAAAAUGUAGGUUUAUACAUACUUUGCUUGUGAUACCUUGUGAUCCAAUUGCAUAAUCAACCAACGUUCCUUCAAGGAUGAACAUUCUUAAAGCUGAAGGAUAAAUACAUCAGGAGCACAUCAGGCUGUCUACUUCUUUGUUAAAAAAGGUCUCAUUCUUUGAGUGCCCUGACACUGGCUUACAGGAGGUUGUAGGGUUUGCUGCCCAAUGCCGGAAAGUCCACCUGGCACUUUUCUCCCCCUUUACAAGAAGCAAGAAGGCAGCUGCCACUCAGAAUGCCUCUGUGUCCAUCUGCCUCCCGUGAUGAUGUACUUACAGGCAACCAGAGAUGCAUGAGGUUGCCAAAGAUCUUAGGCAUGCACUAAUGGCACAGAUGAUGGGUGAUUUCGGAGAUAAAACUCUCUGGGGAGUGACAAUGUCAUCGCACUGCUGUUGUGAAUCAUCUUUAAAACCUUCUCUAUUAUUUGUGAAGGACAUUCCCUCAAUUAAGGGAUUUGGUGGUUUGCUUAAGUCAACAUUGCUAUGGUCAGCAAGUUUGCAGUGAAGAACAACUCUGCUGGAUUUCAGUGUAUUGCCAUUACAAGGUGGGGUUUUUUUUGGAAGAACUGAUAAAGAGAAGACAAGAUGAAACAGGAUUUGAGAGAAGAUCUGAGAUUAAACAAUAAAAUACAGUAACUUCUAUCCUGGUUCAAUCCUCCUUCAGGGAUGUCUAGCUUAAGCAAAUAUUUUUUCAGCGGGAAGCUAAAAAUGUUUAGGAGUAUACAAACUAAAAGCUCUGAUUAUAAUGCAUAAGGCUUCACGAUAUACCAGAAGAGGAACGAACUGCUUACAGCUGAGCCACGCUUAUGCCGCAUAAAGAUAAAUACUUGGACUACAAAGUUUUUGGAAACCUGAAAGGUGAAGAAGUCGCAUUACUGGCAGACCCACUGCAGUUCUGGUGCAGAUGUCAGGGGCUCUGAGGGAGCUCUGAGCCCUUCACUCCCAUGCUCAGGAGGAACCUCCUCUAUCAGGUCAGAAUUUGAAGCCACAUCUCAGAAUCAAGUACAAGUUCGAUGAUGAGGUAGCAAAUGAAAAAGGUUGAAGAAUACAUAGCAAUGGUCUCU